rnacentral:rRNA from 1 species
GACGAACGCUGGCGGCGUGCUUAACACAUGCAAGUCGAACGGAAAGGCCCUGCUUUUGUGUGGUGCUCGAGUGGCGAACGGGUGAGUAACACGUGAGUAACCUGCCCUUGACUUUGGGAUAACUUCAGGAAACUGGGGCUAAUACCGGAUAGGAGCUCCUGCUGCAUGGUGGGGGUUGGAAAGUUUGGGCGGUUGGGGAUGGACUCGCGGCUUAUCAGCUUGUUGGUGGGGUAGUGGCUUACCAAGGCUUUGACGGGUAGCCGGCCUGAGAGGGUGACCGGCCACAUUGGGACUGAGAUACGGCCCAGACUCCUACGGGAGGCAGCAGUGGGGAAUAUUGCACAAUGGGCGGAAGCCUGAUGCAGCAACGCCGCGUGCGGGAUGACGGCCUUCGUGUUGUAAACCGCUUUCGCCUGUGACGAAGCGUUAGUGACGGUAAUGGGUAAAGAAGCACCGGCUAACUACGUG